UACGGAGGGUGCAAGCGUUAUCCGGAUUCACUGGGUUUAAAGGGUGCGUAGGCGGGUUGGUAAGUCAGUGGUGAAAUCUUCAAGCUUAACUUGGAACUGCCGUUGAUACUAUCAAUCUUGAAUGUUGUGGAGGUAAGCGGAAUAUGUCAUGGUAGCGGUGAAAUGCUUAGAUAUGACAUAGAACACCGAUAGCGAAGGCAGCUUGCUACACAAAAAUUGACGCUGAGGCACGAAAGCGUGGGGAUCGAAACAGGAGUUA
rnacentral:rRNA from 1 species